AUUACUUCUUGGCCUUUUGGCUAAGAUCAAGUCUAGUAUCUGUUCUUAUCAGUUUAAUAUCUGAUAUGUCCUCUAUCCGAGGACAAUAUAUUAAAUGGAUUUUUGGAGCUGGGAAUCUGAAGAGGAGCUUGCUCCAUCCGCUCUGUGCAUCGACCUGGUAUUGCAGUACAUCCGGGAAUGGUGCACCAAAA